CGCCUAAGAGCUAGCCUAACCUCUAAGUUGAGUAACCCUUUGCACCAACCUUAAAUGAUUACAACACACACCAAACAAACCAUUUUUCCACCUAAGUAUAGGAGAUAGAAAAG
rnacentral:rRNA from 1 species